UUUUUGAAUAGACGGGUUGAUACUGGCUGGGAAACUGAAAUCAGCCAUUACAGUAGUACAUCAAGCCCAGUAAAAACAAAAAGCGGAAGAAGGAAAUACGGUGUAGGAGAAAGUUCUUCAAGUUUUACGCGAGAAUUCAAGGACAGAGAGAAAGAAAAAGGUGUAAACAGGAUAAGGAACCACUCGACGGAUAAACAACAGGAAAAUCCCAAACCUAUAAGGAGAAUAAGCUGGACGGACCAAAAAAGCGGCGACUUAAAAGAGAAGCAAGAACACAGAACAUCAGUUAUUGAGGUUUCAAUGGAAGAAAAAAACAACAUGAAGAAAAUUAAUUCCCAAGAAGAACAAAACUCCAAUACAGAGCAAGAGAUAAACAGGAAUAACGAAGAUAAAGGAAAAAAACAAACAAAGAAAAAACCAGAAACUUACUCAUCAUCCGGGUCAGAUUCACAAGAAAAGUUUAAAUCUGGAGUUAUAAACUGCCUUUGCCGAUAUCAAACAUACGAACCAGACAUGCUCAAAUGCCAAGAAUGUAGAGAAUUCGCGCAUGCCAUCUGCUAUGGGAAAAAAGUAACGGAGAAUUUUAAGUGUGCAGUAUGUUCUAUUAAAAAAGGAGAAAAAACAGGGAACAAGGAAAUUGACGAAUACUACUCCAAACCUCGACGUACUUACAAGGAAAAACAAGAGUUUGUGUUCAAAUUAAACACAAGAAGAGUUUUAAAAUCCAUCCUAAACCAAGAGUUCUUAUGCUGUCAACCCGGAAUCGAACCAUCACCUGAAUUUCUUAAAAUAAGAUUUGGAUUCUCUAGCUCUUAUUCAGCAAAAAUCACGGUAAAACUAAUCAAGAAGGUCUAAUAAACGUCUAUGGAGGAUUUAGUUUUGAUGGUGGUAGAAUAAUUGAUUCAUUAGGACUACACCAAGAUUUAGACGAACCAGAAAUUGAAGAAAUACAAAGAGAAAAAGAAACUGUUGGAUUUGACAUUGGAGGAGAUUUUAAUCAAGAAUCAAAACCUAAAAAAGAUGAAAACAAAGAACAGAGAAAAAGACCAAGAGAGGGUUCACAAACUGGAGACGAGUCUAAUAAAAAAUCUAGAGAGAAUUCAACAACAGGAGAAAAAGAGAAAGUCAUAAAUUCUCAGGAAACAGGAAACAAUACUAGUAAAGAUGUGUUGUCAGACAUCAGUUCUCGAGAAGCUUCCGAAGAAAGAAAUGGACAAGAAAAGGAAUAUGAAAACAGGAAAACAGAAAACUAUUUUUCCUCUUCUUCCUCAUCCCCUUACUACUCACCACCAGAACCAAAAGCCAAGGAUAAACCGAUAGAAAGUAACAUAAAUAAUAGUGAUCCCGAUUCAAUGUUAGGAGACAAAAUCACAAGAGAUAGAAAUGGGAGGAAAUAUAAAAUCAUGCUUUCAUGGCCCGUAAGAUUUACAAACAGUGAGUCAAGAAACAUAUCAAAAGAUAUUCCAGAAAGUGUAGCGCUACUAGGAAAAAGAACCAAACGACCUGUUUACGGACAAGUGGUAGAUAUAAAUGAACCAAGACAAAAUAACGAUCCUAAAAAAUGGAACCUACAUUUUAUUCUUGGAAUGGAAGGAGAAUUGGUUCAAUGCUGGGUGUUCGGAACAGAAGAAGAAAUAAGAGAAAUCGCCAAGAAACUUCAACCCGAAGAAUAUUACUUAUUCUGGGGUGACUUCAAAAUCAAGGAAAAGUACUCGUCUAAGUUUAAAUACACCAAUGAUUGGGCCAUUUACCUUUCUAGUUCAUGCAACAAGUUUGAUAAAAUCAGACGAUCCAGACAAUAUCUUGAUUCAGAAGACUCGAAAUCUGAAGAUCUGGAAAAGUUUGCCGACAAAUUUCAAACUGCUCCAAGGAAAGGAAGCAAAAUUCUUAAGAAGAAAAAAGAGCAUAACGCCAGAAUGAAAGGAAAGCUAGAUCACACACAGAAAAAGAUAACAGAGUACGGAAUCAUAGCAAAUAAAAGUGCCAACGAAAGCAGUACUUCCAAUGAAGAAGAUGCUCUAUUGAUCAACGUCAGCGAUGGAGAAAAAGUAAAUUCAAGUUAAAAGUUCAGUUCAGAAAAAAUCUCUAUCUCGAUAUCCAUUGAUUAUUUACAUCCCUAAAUAAAGUUUGUUAAAAAAGUUCAGUUCAGAAAAAAUCUAUAUCUCGAUAUCCAUUGAUUAUUUACAUCCCCAAAUAAAGUUUGUUAAAAAAGUUUUUUUGGAUUGUACGUUCGUAUACUUAUUAUCAUGUAGUUUAAAAACAUUAAAUGUUUUCUUUCUUUUUUUGGAAAAAACAGGAAAUUUUCAAAAGUUUAAUUAAUCUUGAUUAAACCUAAACUUAUGAAAAACAAAAAAAUCAAAAAAUAUAUAAAAAAUCAAAAAAAAACAAAAUAUUGUAAAAAUACUGUUAUGUUUUAAAAAUUGUUGAGUUAUUUUUUCGUUACAUUUAAAUUCAAGCUGUGCAAAAAUAUAAACAAAUCAAUACUGUUAUGUUUUAAAAUUGAUGAAUUACUUUUCCGUUAAACUUAAAUUCAAGCUGUGAAAAACUGUAAUCAAAUCAAAAACCAUCGAUUUUCUACAUCAUUCUCGUUAAAAACUUUUUAAUAAUUAUAAAUUUGUCAAUAAACUUAUUUUUAUUUUAUGCAAGUGCUGGCUAAAUUUUCAUUUUUUCAUUAAUUCAUUUUUUCAGGAAAAUGCAUCCUAUAUUAAAAUGUAUCUGGACAAUAAUGGCAUCUUUAAACAUGAUUACGCUAGACAUUAGCAAAUCGAUUAAACUAUUGCUGCGGACAAGAACAUGGGAUAUGUAUGUAUUGAUACAGAGGAUCUACUACAGCAGUAUGAAGAUAUCAACGAAAAACAACAUUUUGAAAACUGCAAAUCAAGGAAACCUGAUGGCAUUUAUAGUUUAUUUUAUUUGUAUUCUUAACCAAAACUCCUUAAUUUUAAUAUUAACAAUUAAAUUUUUACAAAAUUUCUACCUUGACAAAGGCUUUAAAUGAUAAUUUCAAUUAUAAGCACUCAGACUCUAGGAUGGCCAUUUUAGGUAAUUAUCAGAGUAACUUCAAGUUCAUACUUAAUCAAAAUAAGCCUGGUAAUAACAAAACUAAGCUAAAAGGUUUUGUUUCGAGACAAUGGAUGGGUCAACCUACCGAACAAUCCAGAGAUGAUUUCAAGGAUGUACAGGAAGUGGAAGUCUUAAGCUACAAAAACUUCCAGAAGAAAUUCUGCGGAGAAGCAUUUUUCGGAAUGUCUUCACUUACAACUCAAUUAAUAGGAAUGCUAAAGAGGGACCACUUCUCGUGUUUUGGUGGGUGGACACAUCUUGGUCAAAGAACAAAACUGGACAGCAAAGUGAAGAAAUAAUAUAAAAUGUGACAUACUUAAGACAAAGUAAAAUGAAGAAAUCAAGAAGGAGUCAUAACGAAAAUUGAUGCUAUAUCUAAAGUUUAAAAAACAAAUUAAUGAGUGUAUUGAUUUGGACAAAAUCAAGAAAAUAAUUCGGGAUUUGCUGUAAAUUUCAAGACUAAGGAAAAAGAGAGUAAUGGGAAUCUAGAAGAUAACUGGGAAAAUAAGUUAAUAUGUGUUUUUAAUAAGAAAUAACUCUGGAAAUAAUUCAAGAUCUAUGCGAGAAAGUUGAAAAAUAAGUGAAAAGAAAAGA
rnacentral:lncRNA from 1 species